CUUAAUAUGGAUGUGAUUUUUACUCUUUGAAGGUGUCUGCCAAAGGUACCAAGAACUUGAUUUCAUAAAAUAUCAGUACUUUGAAGCUAAAAACAUCCAGACUUUAAAGUGAUAGUUUUUUUUUCCCGAAAUCACGAGAUAACAAGACAAAAUGGAAGCAAAAGCAGAUAACAUUACAUCUGAGGAAAUAAUAAUAUCGUCGUUGUUGCAGUCUUGUCCAUUUGCAUGAAGCUAGUUCUAUUCAAAACCCAGAUCAAAGAACACAAACUUGUUCCAAGCAUAAAACAUUCAACCGUAGUUUACAGUUGGUAAUUGAGGGUGUUGUCCUGGGGGGCAGGUGUGAAAUUCCAUUUUCUGAGAAGAAAACUUUCUUUGCCCAAACAACCUGUAUCAGAAACCUAGUGGCCAUGCCACGGGGUGAAUUUAAAAGCUGGAUUGUGGUAAACCCUGAUAUUCUUCCUCUCCUCUAUCUAUCUCCAGUCUGUCACUUAAAGCAAUGCAGCAUUUAUUCAAGUCUUCUUAUUGUGUCAUUUCCCCCCAAUCAAUGGUGAUAGUGGAAAAAACAAGAAGGUUCCUGGAAAUGGUUGGAGAAUCAAAAUGCAAAUUUCCAUUACCAGUAAAACGAAUAAUCUCUAUACUUGGAUUGAAAAGAAUAGAGAGAAAAUGAAGAUAAAAGAGCUGGGGCCAUUGGGGCUCAACAAAAGUCACCACAAUUACCUUGUUAAAAGGUACCUAUCAUGAACCUGGAUCUAAAUUACAGUCAUAAUAAUAAUUCCAAAAUGGGAUAAGGUGAAAAAGUUAAAUAAAAAAAGAGGGAGGAAAAAAAUGGAGGAGGCAGAGCCAGGGAAGAGGCAGUGCAUGGGCGGAGAAACAACAGAAUCAGUUGGUAGAUCCAUCCAUGCUCAGCCUGUUCCCUGUCUUUGUCUGUCUCUCCCAUCUUUCUCACUCUCUCUCAAUAUUGACUGUUACCUCAUCUUGUUUUGCCUCUGUUGGAAUGCCCCCAAAGAAACCUGCCACACUGAUGUCUAUGGCUCUAUGCUCUCAUCUGAGCUAUUUAAGCUAAACCCCCCAAUAACGUUUACAGUACAACUUGUACUAAACGGACCCUGUACUACAG
rnacentral:lncRNA from 1 species